rnacentral:misc_RNA from 1 species
UUAACUAUUAUAUAGUACUCAGACGACACUAAUAUUCAGAAUUUGGGGUCCUCUGGCGAGCACUCACCAGCGUGAGCCGGUGGCCGAGGCGGCUCGCCAAAGCAACAAAGGUAUAAUAACAAAGGGUUGGAGAGUCACCCGUGAGGGCGAUGUUCUCUGUAAUGAUCCUUCCGCAGGUUCACCUACGGAAA